rnacentral:rRNA from 1 species
UACGAGAGGGGCGAGCGUUAUCCGGAAUUAUUGGGCGUAAAGGGUUCGUAGGUGGUAUUUGUUGUUAUAGGUAAAAUUUUAAAGUAAUAUUUAAAUCGCCUAUAAUACUCUUUUACUUGAGUAUAGAAGAGGAUAACAGAAUUUCAUAUUUAGGGGUAAAAUCCUUUGAUUUAUGAAGGAAUGUCAAUGGCGAAGGCAGUUAUCUGGUCUAUUAACUGACGCUGAGGAACGAAAGCGUAGGGAGCAAACAGG